AAUGAUAUUCGUCGAACUGGAUAUUAUAAUGUAUAACAGGUUUUUGUGAAAGCUUAUAUUGAUUGAAAGGUACUGUUUUUAAUUAAUGGAAAACGAAAUUGAUUUAUCUCUCUGAACUCAUUUAAAAUGUACUGAACCAUUGAUAAUGAAAAAAACAUUUAGUUUAAAAUUUAAUUAAAAACAAAUUGAAAUUUCUCGUUUAAUGAAGCAUGUUUAAAAAAGAAGCGGAUUGUAAUUAGAUACAUUCUACUGACCAGUUAUGAAGCAUUGCAAUAAUGAAAGAAUAUAUCAUAUUGAUAAUUUUUCAGUACUUUGAAGAUAUGUCUGCAUCUUUAGUUAGUGAAAUAUUGGUUCAUACACCAAAUACAGGGAAUGGUGUGUAUUGGGUUCCUAAUGCUCCUGAACUCAGUCACCCUUUGAACCAGUAUGGAUAUGACGCCUCACAAAACUAUACAAUAAGCUUUGACCUCAAAGUUUGCAGUGAUGCAUUUGUAUAUUUAUCCGCCUCUCCCAUAAUGGAUAAAAAUGCAGCAUUGUAUGAAAUUUGUAUAGGAGGAGGUGGAGGGAAAAAGGUUUUUUUGCGCCGAAAGGAUGCUACAUUUGAAAAUGUUGCCAGUAACGUGCUUGGAGACGGAAGCACACAAUGUGGAUCAUUUCAACCAUUUUGGAUUUCAUGGCAAAAUGGAAAUAUUAAGAUAGGCAAAGGGUUGUCUAUAGACAACGAAGUAGUGAUUGAUUGGAAUGAUCCCAAUCCUUUCAUUAUCUAUGGUAUAGGUGUGAGAACAGGCGUUGGACAAUCAGGACAAUGGACUAUUCAUAUGGAAGCUCUUGGUUACUUUUGUUUACACACAGAAACCCGGGGUACAAUGGAACUGGUCAAGACCACUUUAGCGACGGAAUAUAUUUGUACUUACUUAUGCCACGGAAUCCAUAACUGCAUGGGAUUCAAUUUCAAUGUACAUUCAAGUGUAUGUGAAUUGAUAUCGACUGGAGAACCACUGCUAACAGUAACGGAGUCAGGUUGGACAUUUGGUACAAAAUGUUUCCAGGGGAAAUGUUAUGCUUGUAUAUAGUACAAUGCUGAUGACGUGUUUCGUUUUGCAUAACUUAUUACUUUUUAU